rnacentral:rRNA from 1 species
AUACGUAGGGGGCGAGCGUUGUCCGGAAUGAUUGGGCGUAAAGGGCGCGUAGGCGGCCCGGUAAGUCUGGAGUGAAAGUCCUGUUUUUAAGAUGGGAAUUGCUUUGGAUACUGUCGGGCUUGAGUGCAGGAGAGGUAAGUGGAAUUCCCAGUGUAGCGGUGAAAUGCGUAGAGAUUGGGAGGAACACCAGUGGCGAAGGCGACUUACUGGACUGUAACUGACGCUGAGGCGCGAAAGUGUGGGGAGCAAACAGGAUUAGAUACCCUGGUAGUCCACACUGUAAACGAUGAAUGCUAGGUGUAGGGGGUAUCGACCCCUUCUGUGCCGCAGUCAACACAAUAAGCAUUCUGCCUGGGGAGUACGGCCGCAAGGUUGAAACUCAAAUGAAUUGGCGGGG